GAUGAACGCUGGCGGCGUGCCUAAUACAUGCAAGUCGAGCGCAGGAAACCGUCUGAACCCUUCGGGGGGACGACGGCGGAAUGAGCGGCGGACGGGUGAGUAACACGUAAAGAACCUGCCCACGGGUCUGGGAUAACCACGAGAAAUCGGGGCUAAUACCGGACGGGUCAUCGGACCGCAUGGUCCGAGGAUGAAAGGCGCUCCGGCGUCGCCCGUGGAUGGCUUUGCGGUGCAUUAGCUAGUUGGUGGGGUAACGGCCCACCAAGGCGACGAUGCAUAGCCGACCGGAGGGGGUGAUCGGCCACACUGGGACUGAGACACGGCCCAGACUCCUACGGGAGGCAGCAGUAGGGAAUCUUCCACAAUGGACGAAAGUCUGAUGGAGCAACGCCGCGUGAACGAUGAAGGCCCUCGGGUCGUAAAGUUCUGUUGUAAGGGAAGAACAGGUGCCGCAGGCAAUGGCGGCACCUUGACGGUACCUUGCGAGAAAGCCACGGCUAACUACGUGCCAGCCGCCGCCGUAAGAC
rnacentral:rRNA from 1 species